CCUACGGGAAGCUGCAGUGGGGGAUAUUGGACAAUGGGGGGAACCCUGAUCCAGCGACGCCGCGUGAGUGAAGAAGUAUUUCGGUAUGUAAAGCUCUGUCAGCAGGGAAGAAAGAAAUGACGGUACCUGACCAAGAAGCCCCGGCUAACUACGUGCCAGCAGCCGCGGGAAUACGUAGGGGGCAAGCGUUAUCCGGAAUUACUGGGUGUAAAGGGAGCGUAGACGGUUAAGUAAGUCUGGAGUGAAAGGCCGGGGCCCAACCCCGGGACUGCUCUGGAAACUAUUGAACUUGAGUGCAGGAGAGGUAAGCGGAAUUCCUGGUGUAGCGGUGAAAUGCGUAGAUAUUAGGAGGAACACCAGUGGCGAAGGCGGCUUACUGGACUGUAACUGACGUUGAGGCUCGAAAGCGUGGGGAGCAAACAGGAUUAGAUACCCUAGUAGUC
rnacentral:rRNA from 1 species